UACGUAGGGGGCUAGCAUUGUCCGGAUUUAUUGGGCGUAAAGAGCGUGUAGGCGGCCAGGUAGGUCUGGUGUGAAAACUCGAGGCUUAACCUCGAGAUGUCAUCGGAAACCAUCUGGCUAGAGUCCGGAAGAGGAGAGUGGAAUUCCUGGUGUAGCGGUGAAAUGCGCAGAUAUCAGGAAGAACACCAAUGGCGAAAGCAGCUCUCUGGGACGGUACUGACGCUGAGACGCGAAAGCGUGGGGAGCGAACAGG
rnacentral:rRNA from 1 species